GACGAACGCUGGCGGCGUGCUUAACACAUGCAAGUCGAACGAAGUGGCGAACGGGUGAGUAAUACGUGGGUAACCUGCCCUGCACUUCGGGAUAAGCCUGGGAAACUGGGUCUAAUACCGGAUAGUGUGGGAUGGGCCCGCGGCCGAUCAGCUUGUUGGUGGGGUAAGGGCCGACCGAGGCGGCGACGGGUAGCCGGCCUGAGAGGGUGGACGGCCACAUUGGGACUGGGACACGGCCCAGACGACUACGGGGGGCAGCAGUGGGGAAUAUUGCACAAUGGGCGGAAGCCUGAUGCAGCGACGCCGCGUGGGGGAUGACGGCCUUCGGGUUGUAAACUCCUUUCACCAUCGACGCGGUAGAUGGAGAAGAAGCACCGGCUAACUACGUGCCAGCAGCCGCGGUAAUAC
rnacentral:rRNA from 1 species